GGACCCGCACAAGCAGCGGAGCGUGUGGUUUAAUUCGAGGCUACGCGAAGAACCUUACCAGGGCUUGACAUAUAGCUGGUAGUGAGUCGAAAGAUAAACGACCCUUCGGGGAGGCUAUACAGGUGCUGCAUGGCUGUCGUCAGCUCGUGCCGUGAGGUGUUAGGUUAAGUCCUGUAACGAGCGCAACCCUCGUCGUUAGUUACAUGUGUCUAACGAGACUGCCGGUGAUAAGCCGGAGGAAGGUGGGGAUGACGUCAAGUCAGCAUGGCCUUUAUGUCCUGGGCUACACACACGCUACAAUGGCCAGUACAAUGGGUUGCCAAGCCGCGAGGCGGAGCCAAUCCCCCAAAGCUGGUCUCAGUUCGGAUUGUAGGCUGCAACUCGCCUGCAUGAAGUCGGAGUUGCUAGUAACCGCGCGUCAGCAACAGUGCGGUGAAUACGUUCCCGGGUCUU
rnacentral:rRNA from 1 species